UUCCCAACAUAGUGGUAAAAAAUGGUUAAAAUGGUUUUACAGUUUUACUAGUAAAAGAGCCAUUUCUCAUUCAGCUGAUGGUUAUGGAUCAGUGAAGUGGUUUCUCAUUCAACUAAUGAAUUAAUUGCAUUAUCGAGGGAAAGGGCUCAGGUAUUUGUGUUUUUUAAAAGACAAAAAAGUAAGAGUGAUGCUCAAUUGCUCAUUGUUGACAGGGUAAUAGCACAUUUCUACUCCUAGUCAAUCUGAAAUGGAGCUUCUUUAUGGAUGCCAUAGCAGCUUCCCAAAACUGUGUUAAUCAUAACACCUAUGUAUGCUUUGUAUCGUCUUUAACAAAGCUAUUGACUCAUUGAGCGAUUACAGUUUUGUGGUUGGGGCUGGCUAGUAACAGCUGACAUGGGGUAAGUCAGUCCUUUAGUUGGGAUAUUUUCACAAGUAAUAAACAGACAUUGUGGAUAUUGUACUUCUAUCUCAAACAAAUUUUUUUCCUUAUGGUCUUCUGAACUUUACGAGCAGGGGGAAAAAAAGCAGCAUGUUGUUGGCUUAACUUGUCUUUGUCAGAUAUAUUUAAUGCUGUUGAUGUUGAGUGUUGCUUUUUUAUUUUUUAUUUUUUCAUUUUUGUUUAUCUUACUCUUUGAAUUAGGUGAGGGGAGGUCUACGUUCCCGACUGAUUGGAUGGUGGUAUUGAUCAACGUUCAUGCUCAAAUACAGAAGAUUUUUUUUAUGUUUAGAGAAACUAUGCUGUUAAUGGUUAUUUGGCAUAAGAAUUUUCAGUAAUGAUGAUGACCUUGGCAAGAAGCUCUAGCUGUCUUACAUAACAUUCAUUUGUGAUGACGCAUUAGAUCAGAUAUUUCAUGUGUUACAUGAAGUGAAGCUUUUACAAUGGGAGGAAAAUUUACAAUUUGCUGCAGGUUAUUAUUGUGACAAAAUUAUUCCAAAGAAAAUGAGUUGGAGAUGUGCAUGCAGGUAAAAUAGCGCAACGGACUAGCGUGUUUCACUCAAGAGAUAGAUAAAAUAGAUGGAAGGUUGUAGUUUGUAUUAGCUUAAAGCUUUCGAAAAUGCGUUAAUGGCUUUAGGCCAUUACUUUCAAAUGUCAAAAUACAAAUUAUUUCUGGACAAACUUCUCUACUCUAGACCACUUCUAUUUAUACUAAUACUACCUUACAAGGGUUGGCCAACACAGCCUUAAUUGCUACUAGUACUACUCUUGUCUUCUUCUAACUUUACCACAGUAACAAACAAUAGCCAAGGUUGCUUGUCUGUUGCACUUUAACGGUCCUCUGCCUGACCUUGUAGUGGGCACGGCUUGUUGUUGUUGUUGGUCGGCUGCUGCUGCUGCUGCUUCUUCUGUCGCCUGCUGUAGGUUAAGAUAGUGGGUGGUGGUGUUGGGUUCAUUUGCAAAUAGAUGUAAUUUUGUCAAGCUUGGCUGCAGCAACUGAAGAUCUUUGUACUAAAUAAAUUUCUGAUUUUAGCAGUGCCUCAAAGUCUCGAACUAUAGAUUCUCUUAUAAGCUCAAAUCCCUUGGGCUUAUGUAAGUCCAAUGAACAUGUACGUUUAAUUGAACUUGGUUUUCACUAGUACUUUAUGUUGAUUCUGGUUUUGUGGCUAGUGCUAUAACAUUCUAAUAUUCAUCUCUGCAUUGCAGGGUAUAAACCGUAUAUAUAUAACCCUUGAAAAUGGUGGUUCAUGGGUGUCCCUACUUAUAUUGGAAGCUCAUUGUUGACAGGGUAAUGCAUAUUUCUACUCUGAGUUUGAAAUAGAACUUCUGUACAGUAGUCAUAGCAUCUAGCCCUUAGGCUAUUAGCUUAACUUGUCUUUGCCGGAUAAGUUCUGUGUAGUUGAUGUUGAUUUUUUUUUUCUUUGCAUGAAUGAGUCACUUAGGUGAGGGGAGGUCUACAUACCGAGUACCUGACUGAUUAGAUGGUGAUAUUGGUCGCAAAUCACAAUUCAUACCUGACAAAUUGGAUGCAUGUCUAGAGGUAUUUAAAUACAUAGUUCAUCAUCAAUCAAAUUUGACUGAGUUUUAAGAUUAAACCUACCUUGGAAUUUAACCAAUAGAACUAAGAAUAUUACAUGGAUAAUGUUGGUCAAGCAUUUCAUUUACAUUUGCUCUCUGAUGUAUCUAUCAAUCUAGUUAUUUUAUGGUUCUGUAGAAACUCUGUUGGUAAUGGUUAUUUGACUUGAAUUUUGAGCAAUACCGUGAAGCGGUGGUGAUUGUGAGCUGCAAAUUGAUGAUAAAUUUUUGUGAUGACCUUAAUUGGCAAUAGGCUCUAGCUUUCUUACAUGUAAGCUGCUAUAUCAAAUAGUUUGGAUUAUUAGAUAAUAAACCUUAGUUGGGAUUAUUAAAAGUAAAUCGCAUAUAAUAAAUUUGUCAUUGCAACCAAAGAUUAUUAAAAAUAAAUGAGGGUGGAUAUUGACUUGAAAAUUAUCUGUAUUCUUGAUUUCUUGUUUUUCAGAGAAACUCCUAGCUAACUAGUGUUGAAUGUUGCUCAAUUUUUAUCAACAAUCCAUAGCUCUAAAAUUUAAGCCUGAAAGUAUUUCUAUUAUCUCAAACACAUAUAAAUGAAAGAUUUUAAAGAGUUUGCUUGAUCAAUUGAAUUUGACGUUAGAACCUUACAGAUUAUAUGCAUCACACUAAUCUAUUAUUAUCUGUUUUCUUUGUAAGAGACUAUUAGUAAUUUUAUUUUUAUUUUUGUGAGCCCUUGCAGAAACAUAUUUUUGCAAUGAUGCAGGAGAGAAUUUACAUGUUAUAUGAACUGAUAAAAUUAUUCCAAAGAAAAUGGGUUGGAGAUGUGCUCUGCAGGUAAAACAAUUGUGAUUGCUGCAGCAACUGAAUAUCUUUUUACUAGUAUAUUUCUGAUACUGCAGUGCCUCAGACCUGAGAUGCCUCUUAUAAGCUCAAAACCCUUGGCCUUAAGUCCAAUGAACAUGGUAUAACCAUUGAAAAUGCUGGUUUGUGGAUGUCUCUACAUAUAUUGCCAAUAUUGGACGCCGUGAAGCUUGAAUUUCCUUAUUGGUUUCUCUUACGCUCUUACCAUGCGUCCAUGUGAUGACUACUGCCGUACAAAAGAUAUAGAAAUACCAAGUUACAAGCAAAAUGCCGUCCAAUAAGGUUGGGAAUUGGGAUUGGUAGAUGCUGCACAAAAGAUAUUCCUAGAGUCCUAAAUAUACAAGCAGAAUACCUCCUAAUUAGGUUAUCAAAGGUAAAUGCACCACCAAAGCUAGUCAUAGCUAUAGAAAUACCAAAUUUACACACUGCAUAUCCGCUAUUAAACAUCAACAUGACCCCAAAACCUUUAUAAUACACAAAUCUAAGGUAAUAGACAUGAUUAAGUCCCUGACAAGGAAGCUCCAAGCUCUGCAUCAUAAGUUGUAUGCCUUGCAGCCUUGGCACGACACUGACAUUGUCGUUUAUGUGCAACAACAUUCAGGGGAUUGAGAAGACCAGUCUCUCUCAAAAAAGGUAACGAGGGAGCUCAAACUGAACAUGAUUGUAAAUACUUGACAAGCAUCAACACAAAACUAUUGAACCGAUUAUUUGCUGGUCUCCAAUAACUCAAAAUCAAUAGUAGUUAGAUGCAUAUUGACAAGCAUUUAUUACAGUUAUGUUGACCUUAAGUUUUGAUGAUGACUUAAGGAACCUAAGCAAACCCAUAUAAGUUUAACUUUCGUUUUUAGCUUUGAUUAGUAACAGGUUUAUGCUAUGAAAUUCUGAGUAAGAAUGGAGUAUGGAACAAGGUCUAAGUCAGCUAUGGAAGGAUAAAGAAGCCAAUCACAAGUCGUGUUCCUUUAAUGAGGAACAAGCUCCAGAGUUGAAUCUUCAAAGGCGAGUUCCUUGCAUGAGGAACUGAAGCUUCGAGCUCAGAGUUUCAAGGAGUCUAAUGUAUUUUUAUCUUUAUUUUAGGCUUCUUGUAUUUAUGCUAAGUACAAUGAUAAUUUAGGAUUUAAGUGGAUUUAAUUUUAUAUGAUAUAGAUUUAAUUUUCCAUA